rnacentral:rRNA from 1 species
AUUGAACGCUAGCGGGAUGCCUUACACAUGCAAGUCGAACGGCAGCACGGACUUCGGUCUGGUGGCGAGUGGCGAACGGGUGAGUAAUGUAUCGGAACGUGCCCAGUAGCGGGGGAUAACUACGCGAAAGCGUAGCUAAUACCGCAUACGCCCUACGGGGGAAAGCAGGGGAUCGCAAGACCUUGCACUAUUGGAGCGGCCGAUAUCGCAUUAGCUAGUUGGUGGGGUAACGGCUCACCAAGGCGACGAUCCGUAGCUGGUUUGAGAGGACGAGCAGCCACCCUGGGACUGGAGCACGGCCCAGACUCCUACGGGAGGCAGCAGUGGGGAAUUUUGGGCAAUGGGGGAAACCCUGAUCCAGCCAUCCCGCGUGUGCGAUGAAGGCCUUCGGGUUGUAAAGCACUUUUGGCAGUAAAGAAACGUCGCGGGUUAAUACCUCGCGAAACUGACGGUACCUGCAGAAUAAGCACCGGCUAACUACGUG